UCCACUGAAUAUAUUAUUAUCUGUAUAGAAUUGGUAUAGGGAGGUGUAUAGUCCACUGAAGAUAUUAUUAUCUGUAUAGAAUUGGUAUAGGGAGGUGUAUAGUCCACUGAAGAUAUUAAUAUCUGUAUAGAAUUGGUAUAGGGAGGUGUAUUGUCCACUGAAUAUAUUAUUAUCUGUAUAGAAUUGGUAUAGGGAGGUGUAUAGUCCACUGAAGAUAUUAUUAUCUGUAUAGAAUUGGUAUAGGGAGGUGUAUAGUCCACUGAAGAUAUUAAUAUCUGUAUAGAAUUGGUAUAGGGAGGUGUAUUGUCCACUGAAUAUAUUAUUAUCUGUAUAGAAUUGGUAUAGGGAGGUGUAUUGUCCACUGAAUAUAUUAUUAUCUGUAUAGAAUUGGUAUAGGGAGGUGUAUUGUCCACUGAAUAUAUUAUUAUCUGUAUAGAAUUGGUAUAGGGAGGUGUAUAGUCCACAGAAGAUAUUAAUAUCUGUAUAGAACUGGUAUAGGGAGGUGUAUAGUCCACAGAAGAUAUUAAUAUCUGUAUAGAACUGGUAUAGGGAGGUGUAUAGUCCACUGAAUAUAUUAUUAUCUGUAUAGAAUUGGUAUAGGGAGGUGUAUAGUCCACUGAAGAUAUUAUUAUCUGUAUAGAAUUGGUAUAGGGAGGUGUAUAGUCCACUGAAGAUAUUAAUAUCUGUAUAGAACUGGUAUAGGGAGGUGUAUAGUC